AUUGAACGCUGGCGGCAGGCCUAACACAUGCAAGUCGCACGAGUGGCGGACGGGUGAGUAAUGUCUGGGAAACUGACUGAUGGCGGGGGAUCAAUACUGGAACCUGUAGCUAAUACCGCAUCCCAUCAGAUGUGCCCAGAUGGGAUUAGCUUGUGGGUGUGGUAACGGCUCACCAGGGCGACGAACCCUAGCGGUCCUUAGAGGAUGAACAGCCACACUGGGACUGAGACACGGCCCAGACUUCUACGUGAGGCAGCAGUGGGGAAUAUUGCACAAUGGGCGAAAGCCUGAUGCAGCCAUGCCGCGUGGAUGAAGAAGGCCUUCGGGUUGUAAAGUACUGUCAGUGGGGAGGCGUUACCUACAGAAGAAGCACCGGCUAACUCCGUGCCAGCAGCCGCGGUAAUUC
rnacentral:rRNA from 1 species